CCACACAAAAGAUUAGCAAGAUCCUUACGCAAAGAUUGUCAAUGAUGGUUGAUUAUUACUAGAUCAUAUGCUAAUCUUUACAGUAUUUAUUAUUUUUAAUAUAUGUAGACUCAUUUAUUAUUAGUUACUAUUAGAAUACAAGGAAGUCGUUAAAAGUACACAUACAUUUUAAAUUCGCGCCUUUAUUUCAUGCACAUAUGACCACCAAGCAUGCGUAUAUGGCCGCGAAGCAUGUACAUAUGACUGUAGAGCAUGCGCACAUGGCCGCGGAGAGUGCUCUUGUCGCUACAUUUCGUCGAUAUGACAGAUUUCUUAACCUGAAUAUUCGACAAAUUUUACGAUUAUUAUUUCGCUUUCCGGGGCAGAGCGACGCUUUUUUUUGCCAGAUUCGUUCGUUUGAAGCAAAACUGUAUCGAAUAAGCACAACUACAUCGAUAUUUGAAUACCAGUGCCUAAACUAAAUAAUUACCAAAACUUUUCUUAUCUUUAUGAUAAAAGUACAACAGAUUUGAAAAAUGCAAAGAAAAAAGAACGUACAUGGAUAGAAAUCUCUAUUUUAAAAUUACCAGUUACAGAUUGUCAAAAUAGAUGGCAAAGACUUAGAGAAAAAUUUUCUCGUGAAAAAAAGAAAUGAGAACUAGAAAGUCGAAGUGGCAGUACAGCAAAUACAAGACCGACUUUUUUGUUAUAUAAUAAUAUAAAAUUUUUAGAUUUGUUUGUUAAAAGCAGAAGAACUUACACUAACAUUAUAACACAUGGAACACAUUUUAUUUCCAAUGCACAAAAAAAUUUAAAUAUCUUACAAGAGAAAAAUUUGAUUGAAACUGUUAACAAUAUUUCUACUUCGUCUGAGAUGUUGAAAUCAUCAUUAACACCAUCAUCAUCUAGAUGUAUAGAUGACUCCCUAUCUGCAUUAAGUAAUGAAACUCCAUAUACAUCAUUAAAUAAAUCAUGUAUAAAAACUACACAAAAAAAUACAAAUAUUUUAGAGAGGAAUAAAACUGUUGAAACUAUUAGUAGCACUCCUGCUACUUCAUCUCAGAUGUUAAAACCGUUAUCACCAUCAUCAAUAUCGUCGUCUUUAUCUACAUCUGUAGCUCCAUCUUUAUCUUUAGAUAUUAAUAAAGAUUCAUUAAUGCAACCAUGUAUAAAAUCUACAACACAAAAUAAGAGAAAACUUAAAAAUACAGUAGUUCCAGAAGUAGAUGAAGUGGACAAAACAUUUAUCAAUUUAUCAUCUAUAGUAUCUGAACAUUUCUUAGAUAAAAAGAAAAUGGACGAAGAUAACAGUUUUGGUUGCACAAUGGCACAUCAAUUACGAAAAAUAGAUAAACCACGAAAAACAGAAUUAAAAGGAAAAAUUAUAAAAAUUUUAUGAGUUUUAAAGAUAUUUUUUUUAUAUUUUAUUGCACAUUAAAAUUAUAUCAAUACAUUAAUAUUAUUUAAUAAUGCUUACACAUUACUUACAUAAUUUACAUGUUACAAAUAGAUUAUGUUGCUUGGAUUUUACAUUAGCAGUAAGGAUAGCAUUGUUUCAUACAAACACAACAAUCUCAGAAAUGAAUAUUUUAUGUCAAAACUAUGAGUUUGAUUACAUGAACAAAACAAAUUAAGAAUUUUAUUAUUUACUUUAGUUUAUACUACAUAAAUGUACCUCUGAAUAAUAUUUAAUUUGUUUGUAUGCUUUAUACAAGUUGGCUGUUUUUUUCAAUUUUAUUUUUUGUUACAAAAUAAAUAGAAAUAAAAUUUUGUUUAU